UGUGUAGGCGGCCUUCUAAGUUUGGUGUGAAAUCUCCCGGCUCAACCGGGAGGGUGCGCCGAAGACUGGGGGGCUAGAGUGCGGGAUGGGAGAGUAGAAUUCCUGGUGUAGCGGUGAAAUGCGUAGAUAUCAGGAGGAAUACCUGUGGUGUAGACGGCUCUCUGGACCGCAACUGACGCUGAGACACGAAAGCGUGGGUAGCAAACAGGAUUAGACUACCCUGGUAGUCCACGCCCUAAACGAUGCAUAUUUGGUGUAGGUCAUUCAGUUGAUCUGUGCCGGAGCUAACGCGUUAAAUAUGCCGCCUGGGGAGUACAGUCGCAAGGCUGAA
rnacentral:rRNA from 1 species